UCCCUGGUGGCUCAGAUGGUAAAGAAUCUGCCUGCAAUGCAGGAGAUCCAGGUUCUAUCCCUGGCGAGGGAA
rnacentral:tRNA from 1 species